rnacentral:rRNA from 1 species
AGAGUUUGAUCCUGGCUCAGAUUGAACGCUGGCGGCAGGCCUAACACAUGCAAGUCGAGCGGAUGAAGGGAGCUUGCUCCCUGAUUUAGCGGCGGACGGGUGAGUAAUGCCUAGGAAUCUGCCUGGUAGUGGGGGAUAACGUUCCGAAAGGAACGCUAAUACCGCGUACGUCCUACGGGAGAAAGCAGGGGACCUUCGGGCCUUGCGCUAUCAGAUGAGCCUAGGUCGGAUUAGCUAGUUGGUGAGGUAAUGGCUCACCAAGGCGACGAUCCGUAACUGGUCUGAGAGGAUGAUCAGUCACACUGGAACUGAGACACGGUCCAGACUCCUACGGGAGGCAGCAGUGGGGAAUAUUGGACAAUGGGCGAAAGCCUGAUCCAGCCAUGCCGCGUGUGUGAAGAAGGUCUUCGGAUUGUAAAGCACUUUAAGUUGGGAGGAAGGGCAUUAACCUAAUACGUUAGUGUUUUGACGUUACCGACAGAAUAAGCACCGGCUAACUUCGUGCCAGCAGCCGCGGUAAUACGAAGGGUGCAAGCGCUAAUCGGAAUUACUGGGCGUAAAGCGCGCGUAGGUGGUUCGUUAAGUUGGAUGUGAAAGCCCCGGGCUCAACCUGGGAACUGCAUCCAAAACUGGCGAGCUAGAGUACGGUAGAGGGUGGUGGAAUUUCCUGUGUAGCGGUGAAAUGCGUAGAUAUAGGAAGGAACACCAGUGGCGAAGGCGACCACCUGGACUGAUACUGACACUGAGGUGCGAAAGCGUGGGGAGCAAACAGGAUUAGAUACCCUGGUAGUCC